rnacentral:lncRNA from 1 species
CUGCGUCUCCGCUGCUGACUACCCGGGCCUUAAGGCUGCCCAGGGUUUGCUGGUAGAUUUCCAGUCGUUCCCGCAGUAUCUCAUCCAACUGCUGCAAUCCUGCCAGCAGCAACAUGGACAACUGCAACCCAGGAUGGGUGUGAUGCUGAGUGGGUGUGGGGCGGUGCCGGGGCUGCUGGGGGAGACAGCAGGGCACCCCCCACAG